AAGUCGUAACAAGGUUUUCGUAGGUGAACCUGCGGAAGGAUCAUUCUUGAUAAUAUAGUUUAUACUAUCAUCAAUUAUGUGCACUGUUACCGCCAAUUGGCGGCCGUAAGGUCGUCAAUUGGCCCAAUUAAAAUAUUUAUUAAUAACUUUUUAUACCAGUAAUCAUAUAAACUUAUGACAACUUUUAGCAAUGGAUCUCUAGGCUCUC
rnacentral:misc_RNA from 1 species